rnacentral:rRNA from 1 species
UAGAGUUUGAUCAUGGCUCAGGAUGAACGCUGGCGGCGUGCCUAAUACAUGCAAGUCGAGCGAAUGGAUUAAGAGCUUGCUCUUAUGAAGUUAGCGGCGGACGGGUGAGUAACACGUGGGUAACCUGCCCAUAAGACUGGGAUAACUCCGGGAAACCGGGGCUAAUACCGGAUAACAUUUUGAACCGCAUGGUUCGAAAUUGAAAGGCGGCUUCGGCUGUCACUUAUGGAUGGACCCGCGUCGCAUUAGCUAGUUGGUGAGGUAACGGCUCACCAAGGCAACGAUGCGUAGCCGACCUGAGAGGGUGAUCGGCCACACUGGGACUGAGACACGGCCCAGACUCCUACGGGAGGCAGCAGUAGGGAAUCUUCCGCAAUGGACGAAAGUCUGACGGAGCAACGCCGCGUGAGUGAUGAAGGCUUUCGGGUCGUAAAACUCUGUUGUUAGGGAAGAACAAGUGCUAGUUGAAUAAGCUGGCACCUUGACGGUACCUAACCAGAAAGCCACGGCUAACUACGUGCCAGCAGCCGCGGUAAUACGUAGGUGGCAAGCGUUAUCCGGAAUUAUUGGGCGUAAAGCGCGCGCAGGUGGUUUCUUAAGUCUGAUGUGAAAGCCCACGGCUCAACCGUGGAGGGUCAUUGGAAACUGGGAGACUUGAGUGCAGAAGAGGAAAGUGGAAUUCCAUGUGUAGCGGUGAAAUG